ensembl:processed_transcript
CUCUCCACCCAGGGCAAAGGCAACAACAACAACCCUCCUAUACUCAAGCCGACUGACCUCAUCCAAUCAGAAAUCUCACACGCUCCAGGCCACGAUUUCCUAACCAGAAUCUGUAAGAGAGAUUCCAAGAACUUGGGAGAAGCAUAUUGUGUGAUGUUCUAUAUUUAUGAGACCCAUAGCAAACUGUGAAGAGAUAACAGAAUGCUUUUUGCGUGAGCUGAGACAGUAGAUGAAAUCUUUCAUUAAAAGUACUCGUACUUUGGGUCCUAUUCUUAUUUAUAAAUAAAUAUUAUUGCAA